rnacentral:rRNA from 1 species
GGGUUGUGAGGUUAAGCGACUAAGCGUACACGGUGGAUGCCCUGGCAGUCAGAGGCGAUGAAGGGCGUGCUAAUCUGCGAUAAGCGCCGGUAAGGUGAUAUGAACCGUUAUAACCGGCGAUACCCGAAUGGGGAAACCCAGUGUGAUUCGUCACACUAUCAUUAACUGAAUCCAUAGGUUAAUGAGGCGAACCGGGGGAACUGAAACAUCUAAGUACCCCGAGGAAAAGAAAUCAACCGAGAUUCCCCCAGUAGCGGCGAGCGAACGGGGAGGAGCCCAGAGCCUGAAUCAGCAUGUGUGUUAGUGGAAGCGUCUGGAAAGGCGCGCGAUACAGGGUGACAGCCCCGUACACAAAAGCGCAUGUGCUGUGAGCUCGAUGAGUAGGGCGGGACACGUGGUAUCCUGUCUGAAUAUGGGGGGACCAUCCUCCAAGGCUAAAUACUCCUGACUGACCGAUAGUGAACCAGUACCGUGAGGGAAAGGCGAAAAGAACCCCGGCGAGGGGAGUGAAAAAGAACCUGAAACCGUGUACGUACAAGCAGUGGGAGCNNNNNNNNNNNNNNNNNNNNNNNNNNNNNNNNNNNNNNNNNNNNNNNNNGGGCGUUAAGUUGCAGGGUAUAGACCCGAAACCCGGUGAUCUAGCCAUGGGCAGGUUGAAGGUUGGGUAACACUAACUGGAGGACCGAACCGACUAAUGUUGAAAAAUUAGCGGAUGACCUGUGGCUGGGGGUGAAAGGCCAAUCAAACCGGGAGAUAGCUGGUUCUCCCCGAAAGCUAUUUAGGUAGCGCCUCGUGAAUUCAUCUCCGGGGGUAGAGCACUGUUUCGGCUAGGGGGCCAUCCCGGCUUACCAACCCGAUGCAAACUGCGAAUACCGGAGAAUGUUAUCACGGGAGACACACGGCGGGUGCUAACGUCCGUCGUGAAGAGGGAAACAACCCAGACCGCCAGCUAAGGUCCCAAAGUCAUGGUUAAGUGGGAAACGAUGUGGGAAGGCCCAGACAGCCAGGAUGUUGGCUUAGAAGCAGCCAUCAUUUAAAGAAAGCGUAAUAGCUCACUGGUCGAGUCGGCCUGCGCGGAAGAUGUAACGGGGCUAAACCAUGCACCGAAGCUGCGGCAGCGACACUGUGUGUUGUUGGGUAGGGGAGCGUUCUGUAAGCCUGCGAAGGUGGCCUGUGAGGGUUGCUGGAGGUAUCAGAAGUGCGAAUGCUGACAUAAGUAACGAUAAAGCGGGUGAAAAGCCCGCUCGCCGGAAGACCAAGGGUUCCUGUCCAACGUUAAUCGGGGCAGGGUGAGUCGACCCCUAAGGCGAGGCCGAAAGGCGUAGUCGAUGGGAAACGGGUUAAUAUUCCCGUACUUGGUGUUACUGCGAAGGGGGGACGGAGAAGGCUAUGUUGGCCGGGCGACGGUUGUCCCGGUUUAAGCGUGUAGGUGUGUGUUCCAGGUAAAUCCGGUUCACUUUAACACUGAGGCGUGACGACGAGGCACUACGGUGCUGAAGCAACAAAUGCCCUGCUUCCAGGAAAAGCCUCUAAGCAUCAGGUAACAUCAAAUCGUACCCCAAACCGACACAGGUGGUCAGGUAGAGAAUACCAAGGCGCUUGAGAGAACUCGGGUGAAGGAACUAGGCAAAAUGGUGCCGUAACUUCGGGAGAAGGCACGCUGACACGUAGGUGAAGUGAUUUACUCAUGGAGCUGAAGUCAGUCGAAGAUACCAGCUGGCUGCAACUGUUUAUUAAAAACACAGCACUGUGCAAACACGAAAGUGGACGUAUACGGUGUGACGCCUGCCCGGUGCCGGAAGGUUAAUUGAUGGGGUCAGCGCAAGCGAAGCUCCUGAUCGAAGCCCCGGUAAACGGCGGCCGUAACUAUAACGGUCCUAAGGUAGCGAAAUUCCUUGUCGGGUAAGUUCCGACCUGCACGAAUGGCGUAAUGAUGGCCAGGCUGUCUCCACCCGAGACUCAGUGAAAUUGAACUCGCUGUGAAGAUGCAGUGUACCCGCGGCAAGACGGAAAGACCCCGUGAACCUUUACUAUAGCUUGACACUGAACAUUGAGCCUUGAUGUGUAGGAUAGGUGGGAGGCUUUGAAGUGUGGACGCCAGUCUGCAUGGAGCCGACCUUGAAAUACCACCCUUUAAUGUUUGAUGUUCUAACGUGGACCCGUUACCCGGGUUGCGGACAGUGUCUGGUGGGUAGUUUGACUGGGGCGGUCUCCUCCUAAAGAGUAACGGAGGAGCACGAAGGUUGGCUAAUCCUGGUCGGACAUCAGGAGGUUAGUGCAAUGGCAUAAGCCAGCUUGACUGCGAGCGUGACGGCGCGAGCAGGUGCGAAAGCAGGUCAUAGUGAUCCGGUGGUUCUGAAUGGAAGGGCCAUCGCUCAACGGAUAAAAGGUACUCCGGGGAUAACAGGCUGAUACCGCCCAAGAGUUCAUAUCGACGGCGGUGUUUGGCACCUCGAUGUCGGCUCAUCACAUCCUGGGGCUGAAGUAGGUCCCAAGGGUAUGGCUGUUCGCCAUUUAAAGUGGUACGCGAGCUGGGUUUAGAACGUCGUGAGACAGUUCGGUCCCUAUCUGCCGUGGGCGCUGGAGAACUGAGGGGGGCUGCUCCUAGUACGAGAGGACCGGAGUGGACGCAUCACUGGUGUUCGGGUUGUCAUGCCAAUGGCACUGCCCGGUAGCUAAAUGCGGAAGAGAUAAGUGCUGAAAGCAUCUAAGCACGAAACUUGCCCCGAGAUGAGUUCUCCCUGAGACUUAGAGUCUCCUGAAGGAACGUUGAAGACGACGACGUUGAUAGGCCGGGUGUGUAAGCGCAGCGAUGCGUUGAGCUAACCGGUACUAAUGAACCGUGAGGCUUAACCUUACAACGCCGAAG